GUGGGGAAUCUUGCGCAAUGGGCGAAAGCCUGACGCAGCCAUGCCGCGUGAAUGAUGAAGGUCUUAGGAUUGUAAAAUUCUUUCACCGGGGACGAUAAUGACGGUACCCGGAGAAGAAGCCCCGGCUAACUUCGUGCCAGCAGCCGCGGUAAUACGAAGGGGGCUAGCGUUGCUCGGAUUUACUGGGCGUAAAGGGCGCGUAGGCGGACAUUUAAGUCAGGGGUGAAAUCCCGGGGCUCAACCUCGGAACUGCCUUUGAUACUGGGUGUCUUGAGUAUGAGAGAGGUGUGUGGAACUCCGAGUGUAGAGGUGAAAUUCGUAGAUAUUCGGAAGAACACCAGUGGCGAAGGCGACACACUGGCUCAUUACUGACGCUGAGGCGCGAAAGCGUGGGGAGCAAACAGGAUUAGAAACCCCAGUAGUCC
rnacentral:rRNA from 1 species